CACGUAGGCACCAAGCGUUGUCCGGAUUUAUUGGGCGUAAAGAGCUCGUAGGCGGUUCGGUAAGUCGGGUGUGAAAACUCUGGGCUCAACCCAGAGCCGCCACCUGAUACUGCUGUGACUAGAGUGCGGUAGGGGAGCGGGGAAUUCCUGGUGUAGCGGUGAAAUGCGCAGAUAUCAGGAAGAACACCUAUGGCGAAAGCAGCUCUCUGGGACGGUACUGACGCUGAGACGCGAAAGCGUGGGGAGCGAACAGG
rnacentral:rRNA from 1 species